rnacentral:rRNA from 1 species
CUAUACAUGCAGUCGAGCGGACAGAAGGGAGCUUGCUCCCGGAUGUUAGCGGCGGACGGGUGAGUAACACGUGGGUAACCUGCCUGUAAGACUGGGAUAACUCCGGGAAACCGGAGCUAAUACCGGAUAGUUCCUUGAACCGCAUGGUUCAAGGAUGAAAGACGGUUUCGGCUGUCACUUACAGAUGGACCCGCGGCGCAUUAGCUAGUUGGUGGGGUAAUGGCUCACCAAGGCGACGAUGCGUAGCCGACCUGAGAGGGUGAUCGGCCACACUGGGACUGAGACACGGCCCAGACUCCUACGGGAGGCAGCAGUAGGGAAUCUUCCGCAAUGGACGAAAGUCUGACGGAGCAACGCCGCGUGAGUGAUGAAGGUUUUCGGAUCGUAAAGCUCUGUUGUUAGGGAAGAACAAGUGCGAGAGUAACUGCUCGCACCUUGACGGUACCUAACCAGAAAGCCACGGCUAACUACGUGCCAGCAGCCGCGGUAAUACGUAGGUGGCAAGCGUUGUCCGGAAUUAUUGGGCGUAAAGGGCUCGCAGGCCGCUUCUUAAGUCUGAUGUGAAAG